AUUAAGUCCUGACGUCAAAUGGUUCAUAGGAACUGUUUCCUGUUUAAACAAGCACUCACUGUAGAGAGAAAGCUUGGCUUAACACACAAGUAAACCCAGAGGCAUUAAAUCUAAAAAUUCUUUGGGAAAACAUGAGGUACAGAUGUGGGGAUCUGCGUUGUAUAUCAGGACUCUCAGUCAGAUACUGCCAUUGGUGCUUACGAAAAAAAUCCAUGGAAACAUCCAUAGAAUUCAAAGAUUACCUGUGGUAUAUUAAAGCCAACCAAAGCACACCAACAGAGACAUUGAGGACAGAAACUGAAGAUGAGGAUCAAUACAGUAGCAAGAAGCAGUGUCUUAAAGCAUAUUACACACAAGAUUAUGGUGAUCUAUCUAUCUAUCAGUUUUCUUUACCAUUUAUCUGAAACGGGGUUUUCGGGGAGCCUGGAGCAUAUUACAGGGGACACGUGCACAAGGCGGUGGACACCCUGUAUAUGGUGCCAACCAAUUGUAAUGCACAUCAUAAACACACCACAGAGGCAGGAAUCUAAAACCCAGUCCUAACCCUUGGUGAUGCUGCUGAUUAUUAUUAUUAUUAUUAUUCACACAAAUAUAAUUUAUUAAAUAAAAAGUAAGAUUUUCAUAAGUUUUCCCAAAAUGCACCAAUCAGGUCACAUUUCCAAAUCUAUUACAUACUAAUAUUUAACCAUUAUUUUACAAUAUAAGCAUACUCUUUUUAAUAUUGGAGUACAUUGCGAUCAUUUUGUGUGCCCAAUGACCUGCCCUGCAGCUAAAAAAUCAGCACACCCCAAUCUCUUGUAUUUGUCAUUAUAUUCAUUACCAUAACUAUGCAACGGAUUGUCGUGCAAUUUGCAGCGCACAUUCAUUACCUAACGUGUUGUGAAUAAUGAUGGUGAAUUUUCAUAUCUUCCUGGUCAUACCAGAAAUGAAUGAGAGUGUUUAAACAGUCAUAUUGUAUGCUGUAAAGCUGUAUCAGCUUUUGAAUAGUUUGGUCUAUGUUGUUUGCAGUGCUUGUAAUGGAUUAACCUUAAUGACAUUCAAUUUGCAUUUGUUAUUUUUACAUGUUUCUUCUUCUAGUUCUUCUUCAAUCUUUUACACCUAUUAUGUUAUUGCUGAGAAAUGGUUUUACAUGUUAAAAACUGAAACCUGCAUGUCUGCAUUCUGUACACAAGGUUGAUUAAUUUGCUGCCUUAAAAGAACGCUUGACUUCGAUUUAAAAGGGAAAAAAAGGUUUUUGGGCACCGUCUCAUCUCGCCAUGAGAUGGUAGCAUUGCCAAAUUGUAAAGUUGCUUUGUUGACUUUAAAGUGCCAUUUCAACAUCUUUAAGUAUAAAAUAAAUGAUUAGAAUGUGUCAGCACA